GACGAACGCUGGCGGCGUGGAUUAGGCAUGCAAGUCGAGCGGCAAGGUUCCUUCGGGAACCCUAGAGCGGCGAACGGGUGAGUAACACGUGAACAAUCUGUCCCUACAUUCCGGAUAAUUCGCCGAAAGGCGUUGUAAUACGGGGGAGGAUCACUCUUUGGCAUCUUAGAGUGAGGGAAGGCGCAAGCCGUGCAGGGAGGAGUUCGCGGCCUAUCAGGUAGUUGGUGGGGUAACGGCCUACCAAGCCGACGACGGGUAGCUGGUCUGAGAGGAUGGUCAGCCACAUUGGAACUGAGACACUGUCCAGACUCCUACGGGAGGCUGCAGUCGAGAAUCUUGGGCAAUGCACGAAAGUGUGACCCAGCGACGCCGCGUGAAGGAUGAAGGCCCUCUGGGUCGUAAACUUCUUUUAUGGGGAAAGAAUAAAUGACGGUACCCCAUGAAUAAGCCACGGCUAACUACGUGCCAGCAGCCGCGGUAAUACGUAGGUGGCAAGCGUUGUCCGGAUUUACUGGGCGUAAAGCGUAUGCAGGCGGAUGCUUAAGUAGGAAGUGAAAGGUUGCAGCUCAACUGCAACACUGCUUCCUAUACUGGGUGUCUUGAGUGGCGGAGAGGGAGAUGGAACGACACGUGUAGCGGUGAAAUGCGUUGAUAUGUGUCGGAACACCAAUGGCGAAAGCAAUCUCCUGGACGCAAACUGACGCUGAGAUACGAAAGCUAAGGUAGCAAACAGGAUUAGAUACCCUGGUAGUCUUAGCCAUAAACGAUGUUCACUAGGUGUCGGGUCUUCGAUUCGGUGCCGCAGCUAACGCAUUAAGUGAACCGCC
rnacentral:rRNA from 1 species